rnacentral:rRNA from 1 species
AGUGAACGCUGGCGGUAGGCCUAACACAUGCAAGUCGAACGGCAGCACAGGAGAGCUUGCUCUCUGGGUGGCGAGUGGCGGACGGGUGAGGAAUACAUCGGAAUCUACUCUGUCGUGGGGGAUAACGUAGGGAAACUUACGCUAAUACCGCAUACGACCUACGGGUGAAAGCAGGGGACCUUCGGGCCUUGCGCGAUUGAAUGAGCCGAUGUCGGAUUAGCUAGUUGGCGGGGUAAAGGCCCACCAAGGCGACGAUCCGUGGCUGGUCUGAGAGGAGGAUCAGCCACACUGGAACUGAGACACGGUCCAGAGUCCUACGGGAGGCAGCAGUGGGGAAUAUUGGACAAUGGGCGCAAGCCUGAUCCAGCCAUACCGCGUGGGUGAAGAAGGCCUUCGGGUUGUAAAGCCCUUUUGUUGGGAAAGAAAUCCAGCUGGCUAAUACCCGGUUGGGAUGACGGUACCCAAAGAAUAAGCACCGGCUAACUUCGUGCCAGCAGCCGCAGUAA